GGAACUGAAGUAACCGUGCUUCUGGCGGUUAGGAUUUAACUCAUAAGUCAGUUUGAACAUCAAAGCUGUUUAGUCAGCAUCCCAUAGAACUUUUGGGGGGGAGAGAGAGACAGAAAGAGACAGAGAGAAGGAGAGACAGAGACCGAGAGACAAAAGAAUCAGCAUGGAAGGAUUGAUUACUCAGGUCCACUGAUAAGUGAAUCAGAACCACAGAACUGAGGACUGGAAGGAGAUCUUCAGGGAGAUCCUACCUGCAAGGGCCAUGAGGCUCCAAGUCCAGGCAGAGACUACAGAAACAUUUCAACUCACUUUUUGACUGGCCUUUGCUGGGAGCUCUGCUAACGGCUCUUCUCCAAGAGAGGGAAGUUUCUGUUCAG